UAGAGUUUGAUCAUGGCUCAGAUUGAACGCUGGCGGCAGGCUUAACACAUGCAAGUCGAGCGGAAACGAUGGGAGCUUGCUCCCAGGCGUCGAGCGGCGGACGGGUGAGUAACGCGUAGGAAUCUACCCAGUAGUGGGGGAUAGCCUGGGGAAACUCGGAUUAAUACCGCAUACGCCCUACGGGGGAAAGGCCGGGAUCUUCGGACCGGUCGCUAUUGGAUGAGCCUGCGUUGGAUUAGCUAGUUGGUAGGGUAAAGGCCUACCAAGGCGACGAUCCAUAGCUGGUCUGAGAGGAUGAUCAGCCACACUGGAACUGAGACACGGUCCAGACUCCUACGGGAGGCAGCAGUGGGGAAUAUUGGACAAUGGGCGCAAGCCUGAUCCAGCCAUGCCGCGUGUGUGAAGAAGGCUCUAGGGUUGUAAAGCACUUUCAGUAGGGAGGAAGGCCAGAGUGUUAAUAGCGCUUUGGAUUGACGUUACCUACAGAAGCAGCACCGGCUAACUCCGUGCCAGCAGCCGCAGUAAUACGGAGGGUGCAAGCGUUAAUCGGAAUUACUGGGCGUAAAGCGCGCGUAGGCGGUUUGUUAAGUGUGAUGUGAAAGCCCAGGGCUCAACCUUGGAACUGCAUCACAUACUGGCAAGCUAGAGUACUGUAGAGGGGGGUAGAAUUUCA
rnacentral:rRNA from 1 species